CCGCGGAACUUGACGGUACCGUAAAGAAGAAGCAUCGGCUAACUCCGUGCCAGCAGCCGCGGUAAUACGGAGGGGUGCAAGCGUUGUUCGGAAUUACUGGGGCGUAAAGCGCGUGUAGGCGGCCUUGCAAGUCAGGCGUGAAAGCCCUCGGCUUAACCGGGGAAGUGCGUCUGAAACUGCUUGGCUUGAGUACGGGAGAGGGAGGCGGAAUUCCCAGUGUAGAGGUGAAAUUCGUAGAUAUUGGGAGGAACACCGGUGGCGAAAGCGGCCUCCUGGACCGAUACUGACGCUGAGACGCGAGAGCGUGGGGAGCAAACAGGAUUAGAUACCCUGGUAGUCCACGCUGUAAACGAUGGGCACUAGGUGUGGGGGGUAUCCACUCCUCCCGUGCCGAAGCUAAUGCAUUAAGUGCCCCGCCUGGGGAGUACGGCCGCAAGGUUAAAACUCAAAGGAAUUGACGGGGGCCCGCACAAGCGGAGGAACAUGUGGUUUAAUUCGAUGAUACGCGAGGAACCUUACCCGGGUUUGAGCGUAGGGAGACAGGAGUGGAAACAUUCUAUUCAGCAAUGACUGCCUACGAGGUGCUGCAUGGUUGUCGUCAGCUCGUGCCGUGAGGUGUCGGCUUAAGUGCCAUAACGAGCGCAACCCUUAUUUCCAGUUACUAACAGGUCAAGCUGAGGACUCUGGAGAGACUGCCAGCGUAAGCUGUGAGGAAGGUGGGGAUGACGUCAAAUCAGCACGGCCCGUACAUCCGGGGCGACACACGUGUUACAAUGGUAAGGACAAAGGGCAGCUACCGGGCGACCGGAUGCGAAUCUCUAAACCUUAUCUCAGUUCGGAUCGGAGUCUGCAACUCGACUCCGUGAAGCUGGAUUCGCUAGUAAUCGCGCAUCAGCCAUGGCGCGGUGAAUACGUUCCCGGGCCUUGCACACACCGCCCGU
rnacentral:rRNA from 1 species